CUCUUGCAUCCCGUGGUCUCCUAUAAGCACAUGGAGCUGAGGAUAUUUGGAAAAAGUCACCGUGACAGAUGCAAGCCUGGAGACACAGAGAAAGUGAGGCCCAGGCUAAAGAACGUCCACAUCUGAGGACUGACUGGUGGUAAGCAUCCUAAUAACGCCCAAGACGCAGAAGCCCGCAUUCAUCUAACUGCCAAGGGCCAGCCUGACGGAGGCAGCAGCCAGGACUCCAAAGGCCUCAGCGCAAGAGCAGUUGAACACGCCCCAGAAGCGGCGCUGCAUCGCUCGGGCCUGGAGGUACGGGUGGAAUCCGGCUUCCGGGGAGGCAGCCUUGCACGCUCUGCCGCUUAGGCCCUGCAGCCCGGGUACCCGCCACCACUUCUCCGUGCGCCAGCCGCCAGGUAUAGAGGUUUUAAGGAGCGGCCGCCUUUGAAAACCCUUUUAUGUCUUCCCAUUCUGGGGAUUCCCUGGGAUUAAAAUCUAAGUCCACCGUGGAGUUCUUGGUGCCUCUCGCCUCUCCUCCAGACCCCUGCAGCGAAUGCAUUCUUUCACCGAACAUUUACUGGGUGCCUAACAGUUGCCAGACAGGGUUCCAGGCGAGGCGUCGCAUCCAGAGCAAAAGCAAGAUUCCUGGAAAUGGAAUUGCCAGAUCAACAUAUUUGCUCAUUUCUGAGGACAACACAAACAGAUGGAAACGUAUAUGUGUUAAUGGAUUGGAAGAAUUAAUAUUGUUAAAAUGACCAUACUACCCAAGAUAAUCUACAGAUUCAAUGCAGUCCCUAUCAAAAUAUCAAGGGAAUUUUUCACAGAACUAGAACAAAUAAUUUCAAUUUUGUAUGGAAACACAAAAGACCCCAGAUAGCCAAAGCAAUCCUGAGAAAGAAUAAUAGAGCGGGAAGAAUCACUCGCCUUGACCUCAGACUACACCAAAAAGCUAUAGUAAUCAAAACGGUAUGGCACAAAACAGACACAUACAGAGACCAAUGGGACAUAAUAGAGAACCCAGAAAUAAUCCCGCACACUUAUGGUCAAUUAAUCUACUAGAAGGCAAGAAUAUUCAAGGGAGAAAAUACUGCCUCUUAAGUAGCGGUGCUGGGAAAACGGAACAAUUACAUGUAAAAGGAUAAAAUUAGAACAUUUUCUCCCACUAUAUACAAAAAUAAACUCGAACUGUACUAAAGAGUAAAUGUAAGA
rnacentral:lncRNA from 1 species